rnacentral:rRNA from 1 species
GGUUAAGCGACUAAGCGUACACGGUGGAUGCCCUGGCAGUCAGAGGCGAUGAAGGACGUGCUAAUCUGCGAUAAGCGUCGGUAAGGUGAUAUGAACCGUUAUAACCGGCGAUUUCCGAAUGGGGAAACCCAGUGUGAUUUGUCACACUAUCAUUAACUGAAUCCAUAGGUUAAUGAGGCGAACCGGGGGAACUGAAACAUCUAAGUACCCCGAGGAAAAGAAAUCAACCGAGAUUCCCCCAGUAGCGGCGAGCGAACGGGGAGGAGCCCAGAGCCUGAAUCAGUGUGUGUGUUAGUGGAAGCGUCUGGAAAGGCGCGCGAUACAGGGUGACAGCCCCGUACACAAAAAUGCACAUGCUGUGAGCUCGAUGAGUAGGGCGGGACACGUGGUAUCCUGUCUGAAUAUGGGGGGACCAUCCUCCAAGGCUAAAUACUCCUGACUGACCGAUAGUGAACCAGUACCGUGAGGGAAAGGCGAAAAGAACCCCGGCGAGGGGAGUGAAAAAGAACCUGAAACCGUGUACGUACAAGCAGUGGGAGCACGCUUCGGCGUGUGACUGCGUACCUUUUGUAUAAUGGGUCAGCGACUUAUAUUCUGUAGCAAGGUUAACCGAAUAGGGGAGCCGAAGGGAAACCGAGUCUUAACUGGGCGUUAAGUUGCAGGGUAUAGACCCGAAACCCGGUGAUCUAGCCAUGGGCAGGUUGAAGGUUGGGUAACACUAACUGGAGGACCGAACCGACUAAUGUUGAAAAAUUAGCGGAUGACUUGUGGCUGGGGGUGAAAGGCCAAUCAAACCGGGAGAUAGCUGGUUCUCCCCGAAAGCUAUUUAGGUAGCGCCUCGUGAAUUCAUCUCCGGGGGUAGAGCACUGUUUCGGCAAGGGGGUCAUCCCGACUUACCAACCCGAUGCAAACUGCGAAUACCGGAGAAUGUUAUCACGGGAGACACACGGCGGGUGCUAACGUCCGUCGUGAAGAGGGAAACAACCCAGACCGCCAGCUAAGGUCCCAAAGUCAUGGUUAAGUGGGAAACGAUGUGGGAAGGCCCAGACAGCCAGGAUGUUGGCUUAGAAGCAGCCAUCAUUUAAAGAAAGCGUAAUAGCUCACUGGUCGAGUCGGCCUGCGCGGAAGAUGUAACGGGGCUAAACCAUGCACCGAAGCUGCGGCAGCGACGCUUAUGCGUUGUUGGGUAGGGGAGCGUUCUGUAAGCCUGUGAAGGUGUGCUGUGAGGCAUGCUGGAGGUAUCAGAAGUGCGAAUGCUGACAUAAGUAACGAUAAAGCGGGUGAAAAGCCCGCUCGCCGGAAGACCAAGGGUUCCUGUCCAACGUUAAUCGGGGCAGGGUGAGUCGACCCCUAAGGCGAGGCCGAAAGGCGUAGUCGAUGGGAAACAGGUUAAUAUUCCUGUACUUGGUGUUACUGCGAAGGGGGGACGGAGAAGGCUAUGUUGGCCGGGCGACGGUUGUCCCGGUUUAAGCGUGUAGGCUGGUUUUCCAGGCAAAUCCGGAAAACUAAGGCUGAGGCGUGAUGACGAGGCACUACGGUGCUGAAGCAACAAAUGCCCUGCUUCCAGGAAAAGCCUCUAAGCAUCAGGUAACAUCAAAUCGUACCCCAAACCGACACAGGUGGUCAGGUAGAGAAUACCAAGGCGCUUGAGAGAACUCGGGUGAAGGAACUAGGCAAAAUGGUGCCGUAACUUCGGGAGAAGGCACGCUGAUAUGUAGGUGAAGCGACUUGCUCGUGGAGCUGAAAUCAGUCGAAGAUACCAGCUGGCUGCAACUGUUUAUUAAAAACACAGCACUGUGCAAACACGAAAGUGGACGUAUACGGUGUGACGCCUGCCCGGUGCCGGAAGGUUAAUUGAUGGGGUUAGCCGCAAGGCGAAGCUCUUGAUCGAAGCCCCGGUAAACGGCGGCCGUAACUAUAACGGUCCUAAGGUAGCGAAAUUCCUUGUCGGGUAAGUUCCGACCUGCACGAAUGGCGUAAUGAUGGCCAGGCUGUCUCCACCCGAGACUCAGUGAAAUUGAACUCGCUGUGAAGAUGCAGUGUACCCGCGGCAAGACGGAAAGACCCCGUGAACCUUUACUAUAGCUUGACACUGAACAUUGAGCCUUGAUGUGUAGGAUAGGUGGGAGGCUUUGAAGUGUGGACGCCAGUCUGCAUGGAGCCGACCUUGAAAUACCACCCUUUAAUGUUUGAUGUUCUAACGUUGACCCGUGAUCCGGGUUGCGGACAGUGUCUGGUGGAUAGUUUGACUGGGGCGGUCUCCUCCUAAAGAGUAACGGAGGAGCACGAAGGUUGGCUAAUCCUGGUCGGACAUCAGGAGGUUAGUGCAAUGGCAUAAGCCAGCUUGACUGCGAGCGUGACGGCGCGAGCAGGUGCGAAAGCAGGUCAUAGUGAUCCGGUGGUUCUGAAUGGAAGGGCCAUCGCUCAACGGAUAAAAGGUACUCCGGGGAUAACAGGCUGAUACCGCCCAAGAGUUCAUAUCGACGGCGGUGUUUGGCACCUCGAUGUCGGCUCAUCACAUCCUGGGGCUGAAGUAGGUCCCAAGGGUAUGGCUGUUCGCCAUUUAAAGUGGUACGCGAGCUGGGUUUAGAACGUCGUGAGACAGUUCGGUCCCUAUCUGCCGUGGGCGCUGGAGAACUGAGGGGGGCUGCUCCUAGUACGAGAGGACCGGAGUGGACGCAUCACUGGUGUUCGGGUUGUCAUGCCAAUGGCACUGCCCGGUAGCUAAAUGCGGAAGAGAUAAGUGCUGAAAGCAUCUAAGCACGAAACUUGCCCCGAGAUGAGUUCUCCCUGACUCCCUGAGAGUCCUGAAGGAACGUUGAAGACGACGACGUUGAUAGGCCGGGUGUGUAAGCGCAGCGAUGCGUUGAGCUAACCGGUACUAAUGAACCGUGAGGCUUAACCUU